rnacentral:tRNA from 1 species
GCCUCGUUAGUGCAGUAGGCAAGGCGUCAGUCUUAUAAUCAAAUCUAGAAAUCUGAAGGUCGUGAGUUCGAUCCUCAUACGGGGCA